rnacentral:rRNA from 1 species
UACGGGGGGGCGAAGCGUUGUUCGGAAUUACUGGGCGUAAAGGCUCGUAGGCGGCCAACUAAGUCAUACGUGAAAUCCCUCGGCUUAACCGGGGAACUGCGUCUGAUACUGGAUGGCUUGAGUUCGGGAGAGGGAUGCGGAAUUCCAGGUGUAGCGGUGAAAUGCGUAGAUAUCUGGAGGAACACCGGUGCGAAGGCGGCAUCCUGGACCGAUACUGACGCUGAGGAGCGAAAGCCAGGGAGCAACGGG